rnacentral:rRNA from 1 species
AGCCCAACACAUGCAAGUCGAACGGUAACAGGAAGCAGCUUGCUGCUUCGCUGACGAGUGGCGGACGGGUGAGUAAUGUCUGGGAAACUGCCUGAUGGAGGGGGAUAACUACUGGAAACGGUAGCUAAUACCGCAUAACGUCGCAAGACCAAAGAGGGGGACCUUCGGGCCUCUUGCCAUCGGAUGUGCCCAGAUGGGAUUAGCUAGUAGGUGGGGUAACGGCUCACCUAGGCGACGAUCCCUAGCUGGUCUGAGAGGAUGACCAGCCACACUGGAACUGAGACACGGUCCAGACUCCUACGGGAGGCAGCAGUUGGGGGAAAAAAA